rnacentral:lncRNA from 1 species
AAGGCAAAGCUAAUGUAAGAUACAUAAAACACCAAAAACACCAAGCAUUCUGCCGUGAACCCAUUUGGUGCUCAAUAAAAUCAUUGCCCUUUUUUUGGUGUUUUGUUGGAGACAAAACGGAAACACCAAAUGGCUGGUGGAAGUGGUAGGAAAAAAGGAGACCAAAAACCCAGUGGCUCUGAAGAGGGCUUCUCAUCCUCAGCACUGCUGACAUUUGCGCCAGAUAUUUCUUUGUUUUGGAGGCUGUCCUGUGCACUGUCGGAUGUUUAGCAGCAUCGUCAGCCUCUACUCUCCAGGUGAAGUAGCAAGUUGUCUGCCUCCCGCAGUUAUGACAAUCAGAAUGUCCUGGUGGAGGGGGGCAGAAUCACCCUGUGAGCUCCGCUAUAGAGCUCAGAGCCCCACCUCCUUUAGGAGUCUGAGCCAAGGCUGCGUCCACAGGAGGGAGUCACUGACGGUUGGAGGACUGAUAUUCACCAAUACCUUUCCCACAAACAAGAGAUGCCUGAGAAAGACCUGGUCAUGCAGGAGGUGGUGAGUGGCUACUGGAAGAAAUAUGGUGGCUGGGGGAGGGGCAAGGGAGAAGUCUGC